GGAGCAGUGGCAGAGCGGCUCAUCGCGACGGUUUUGAAAACCGUUUCACCUUUACGGGUGACGGGGGUUCGAAUCCCUCCUGCUCCG
rnacentral:tRNA from 1 species